rnacentral:rRNA from 1 species
AGAUUGAACGCUGGCGGCAUGCCUAACACAUGCAAGUCGAACGGGAGUAGCAAUACUCUAGUGGCGGACGGGUGAGGAAUACGUAGGAAUUUGCCCUUAAGUGGGGGAUAACCCGGGGAAACCCGGAUUAAUACCGCAUGACCUCGAAAGAGCAAAGUGGGGGAUCGCAAGACCUCACGCUUUUGGAGAAGCCUACGUCGGAUUAGCUAGUUGGUGAGGUAAUGGCUCACCAAGGCGACGAUCCGUAACUGGUCUGAGAGGAUGAUCAGUCACACCGGAACUGAGACACGGUCCGGACUCCUACGGGAGGCAGCAGUGGGGAAUAUUGGACAAUGGGCGCAAGCCUGAUCCAGCAAUCG